CCUACGGGAGGCAGCAGUGGGGGAUAUUGCACAAUGGGGGAAACCCUGAUGCAGCGACGCCGCGUGUGGGAAGACGGUCCUCUGGAUUGUAAACCACUGUCCCCAGGGACGAAGAUGACGGUACCUGGGGAGGAAGCUCCGGCUAACUACGUGCCAGCAGCCGCGGGAAUACGUAGGGAGCGAGCGUUGUCCGGAAUUACUGGGUGUAAAGGGAGCGUAGGCGGGACUGCAAGUUGGGUGUCAAAUCUACCGGCUCAACCGGUAGCCGCACUCAACACUGCAGUUCUUGAGUGAAGUAGAGGCAGGCGGAAUUCCUAGUGUAGCGGUGAAAUGCGUAGAUAUUAGGAGGAACACCAGUGGCGAAGGCGGCCUGCUGGGCUUUUACUGACGCUGAGGCUCGAAAGUGUGGGGAGCAAACAGGAUUAGAUACCCCAGUAGUC
rnacentral:rRNA from 1 species